GACCUAGGGAGUCUGAGGCAUUAUGGAAUUUCUCUAUGCACUCGUUAAAUUCACAGCUACCUGAUUUCCUUCAUUUUCAGGCCUGAACAUCUGUAAUAAUCUAAAUAGCCUUUUUCCUGCUAACAAUCAGCUCAGAAGCACUCUCACUUUCUGACAGCAUCAAAGACACUUGAGUCAUUGAACCGCAUCUCACCAGGGCGUCAGGGAUGGUUGGCUUAUCUGGAUUCUGGAUGCUUUUUCCAUCUGCAGCAGCAGCUCCUUCCGACCACAUGACCUUGAGUGAGUUGUUUAACACCCUCCUGAACCUGAGUUUUAUCACCUUCUGAUCGAACUAAGGUCACAUCACGCAUCUUCCCAGGCUCUUCUGAACAUCCAGAUUAGCUAAUACCAAAGACAUCACUUGGAAGCCAGAAAGCUCCCUCCAGUGUAUUAAUAACUUAGAUCCUCCCGGCUGAUGAGAAUAGUAGGACCACAGUGAAUCACAUGUGGCCCCAGGAGCUGGCUUUCAAGGUCAAUUCUCAGGUAUCUUUUGUAGCAUUUAAAAAUGAGUGACAUGCAAAAGCAUUAGGGGUUUUCUUAACAAGGUUAUUCAUUUUCUCCGAGCUUCUCUUAUGUUGCCCCCAAAUUCAAGUAGUAUUGUCAACAUGGCACAUUAUUACGGUUUCUUUGACAUAGAUAAAUUUGGGGGAAAAAACAGUGGUAAAAAAUUUCACAUACAAUUAACAGUCUGCUUUCUGAAGAGGAUUGUCUGCUCAACUGUAGGGGUUUUGGUUUUUCUGUUUGGGCCAUGGAAACAUUGCCUUCAAAUAAAUAUCGAGCAAUUAUUCAUAGGGGGCGUCCCAUGUGGCUCAGUGGUAAAAAAUCCGCCUGCCAAUGCUGGAGCCACAGGAGAUACAGGUUCGAUCCCUGGGUCAGGAAGAUCUCCUGGAGAAGGAAAUGGCAACUCACUCCAGUAUUCUUGCCUGGAGAAUCCCACGGACAGAGGAGCCUGGCGGUCUACAGUCCAUGGGGUCCCAAAGAGUUGGACACGGCUGAGUGACUAAACAACAACAAAGCCAGUCUCCCCAUCUGCAGGAUGAAGGUAGGAGAAGAACUUCCAGGCAGGGUUGCCGUGAGAAUUAAGGAAGUUGAUGAAGAAAAGUGAAAGUGCCACUAUGCUAUUAUUGUCGUUGCUGUUACUGUAAGCAGCAGCAGCUGCAGCUUAUACUAGGCUAAUUCUCCUUCCUAAGAGCCUCCAUGGAAGGAAGAUGGUCCUGCGAACUCCAAGAGGUCACAGCUCUGGUCUCCAGCAGCUCUGGGCAUUCACGCAGUCGGGACUUUUCCCCAGGGUUUCAUCCCACGCCCAAGAUUCUCAUUGAAGUCUAGAAAGUCAUGAAGUUGCUGCUGAGGAUGGGUGUGUGUGAUGGUUUCCUGUCUCCGAAGAAAUGGAAAUGGGGCUAAACAGAGAGUUUCAUCCUUGCAAAAUGAGAAGCGGCUUCUUGGACGGUGAGGGACCAGGAUAAAGAUGCAUCCCGUGGGCUUCUUGAGUCUGUUCCUGUCACGCAUCAGAGCCACGGUGGUGACGGUCAGGGUCCUGCUGGGCCUGGGGGCUUCGGCAUCACUGGCGCUGGAUCAGCCAUCCAAUCUUCCAAACGUAAAAGCCACGGCUGCUUUACAAGGUCCCGUUCAUACUUGGGCAUGUCCAUGGGAACACCGAAAUCAAGUUCCUGCGGCUGAGGUUCCUGCUGAAAGAACAAGGCACGGCGAUGGCCAUGGUCCCUCAGGUACAGCAUCCCCCCAUGGCCUCCUGGUCUAAGAUGGCAUCCUCCCCAUUGAGCUCCUGGGAGGUCCUGAACACGAGGAUGGAGUUGUAAACCUUCAGGGCUGGAUCCAGCUCGAUCUUCAUCCACCUGGAUAAUGUCCGUCUGUUAGCAGCAGGAAGACUCUGCCAUCGAUGUGCUGUCAGUAAAUAAAUGCUCACAAAUAAACACAGCCUGCUCCUCCAGUCUGUUUGCCCCCCUCCAACCCCCCCCCCCC
ensembl:lncRNA